GUGGGGAAUAUUGGACAAUGGGCGAAAGCCUGAUCCAGCAAUGCCGCGUGAGUGAUGAAGGCCUUAGGGUUGUAAAGCUCUUUUACCAGGGAUGAUAAUGACAGUACCUGGAGAAUAAGCUCCGGCUAACUCCGUGCCAGCAGCCGCGGUAAUACGGAGGGAGCUAGCGUUGUUCGGAAUUACUGGGCGUAAAGCGCACGUAGGCGGCUACUCAAGUCAGAGGUGAAAGCCCGGGGCUCAACCCCGGAACUGCCUUUGAAACUAGGUAGCUAGAAUCUUGGAGAGGUCAGUGGAAUUCCGAGUGUAGAGGUGAAAUUCGUAGAUAUUCGGAAGAACACCAGUGGCGAAGGCGACUGACUGGACAAGUAUUGACGCUGAGGUGCGAAAGCGUGGGGAGCAAACAGGAUUAGAUACCCCGGUAGUCC
rnacentral:rRNA from 1 species